rnacentral:rRNA from 1 species
AACGCGAAGAACCUUACCUACCCUUGACAUGUCUGGAAUCCUGAAGAGAUUUGGGAGUGCUCGAAAGAGAGCCAGAACACAGGUGCUGCAUGGCCGUCGUCAGCUCGUGUCGUGAGAUGUUGGGUUAAGUCCCGCAACGAGCGCAACCCUUGUCAUUAGUUGCUACGAAAGGGCACUCUAAUGAGACUGCCGGUGACAAACCGGAGGAAGGUGGGGAUGGCGUCAGGUCAUCAUGGCCCUUAUGGGUAGGGCUACACACGUCAUACAAUGGCCGGGACAGAGGGCUGCCAACCCGCGAGGGGGAGCUAAUCCCAGAAACCCGGUCGUAGUCCGGAUCGUAGUCUGCAACUCGACUGCGUGAAGUCGGAAUCGCUAGUAAUCGCGGAUCAGCUUGCCGCGGUGAAUACGUUCCCGGGUCUUGUACACACCG